rnacentral:rRNA from 1 species
GAUUAACGCUAGCGGCAGGCCUAAUACAUGCAAGUUGUACGGGAUUAUUGGUAGCAAUACUGAUAUGAGAGUAGCGCACGGGUGCGUAACACGUAUGCAACCUACCUUUAACUGGGGAAUAGCUCACCGAAAGGUGAAUUAACACCGCAUAAAAUCACAGAAGGACAUCCUUUAAUGAUUAAAUCUCCGGAGGUUAAAGAUGGGCAUGCGUCCGAUUAGCUAGUUGGCGGGGAAUAGCCACCAAGGCAACGAUCGGUAGGGGGUCUGAGAGGAUGAUCCCCACACUGGUACUGAGACACGGACCAGACUCC